AGCGAACGCUGGCGGCAGGCUUAACACAUGCAAGUCGAGCGGGCACUUUCGGGUGUCAGCGGCGGACGGGUGAGUAACGCGUGGGAACGUGCCCUCUGGUUCGGAAUAACUCAGGGAAGCUUGAGCUAAUACCGGAUACGCCCUUUUGGGGAAAGGCUUGCUGCCGGAGGAUCGGCCCGCGUCUGAUUAGCUAGUUGGUGAGGUAACGGCUCACCAAGGCGACGAUCAGUAGCUGGCCUGAGAGGAUGAUCAGCCACACUGGGACUGAGACACGGCCCAGACUCCUACGGGAGGCAGCAGUGGGGAAUAUUGGACAAUGGGCGCAAGCCUGAUCCAGCCAUGCCGCGUGAGUGAUGAAGGCCUUAGGGUUGUAAAGCUCUUUUAUCCGGGACGAUAAUGACGGUACCGGAGGAAUAAGCCCCGGCUAACUUCGUG
rnacentral:rRNA from 1 species